GAUGUGACAUGACGUGACUGAGUGAAUUGGCCUUAUUACAUUUUGUGGACCUGGGUUCUACUUCUGCACUGUCCAUACCUCUCUUCAUUUACUGCUCAGCUGCUGUUAAUGAAUCAAUUUUUCAAUUAUGUUACCAUUUCAUUGCUGAUUUUCAGUUUCAUACUUGGGCUGUGAUAUUUUACAACUAUUUAGUUCCUGGAUGAUCUUGUUCCCCUAGUCACCUCCUCUUUGUUUGAUGAAAGAACACUUGGUUCUGAAAGUGAGUGUGUGAGUGUGAGUGUGAGAGUUUUAUAGAGGAUUAUUAUCUAGAUUUACUGAAAAUAUGUAGUGCAAUGAAAGUCUUUUCAGAUCCACUAUAUUUAUGGCAACAACACAUGAAUGAAAAAUACAGAGAUUUCACUGAUCAAAAAUAGAUUUAGUUAUUCCAUCAUGUUGCAAGUGAAAACUGCAUUUACAUUAAUUUAUGGGAUUGACAUGCUGUCCAAUGUAUAUGGAAACUUUAUUAUUAUUAUUGGUUAUUUUUAAUACAUAAAAAGGAAUAAAAUACAGUAGAGCUCAAGCAAGUGAAUUAUUUGCCUUACAUAACCGUAGUGCAUUUUUAACAUUGUCACUUGUAAGAGUACAAUCUAUUGUGCUCAACACUUUUUUUCACUGAACUUUGAAUUUAAGAAUAACCUUAUUUUAAGGUUUCUUUUUAUUAUCUGUUGAAGGAAUGCCGUGAAAGGCACUGAAC